rnacentral:rRNA from 1 species
AACGAACGCUGGCGGCAUGCCUAACACAUGCAAGUCGAACGAGACCUUCGGGUCCAGUGGCGCACGGGUGCGUAACGCGUGGGAACCUGCCCUUAGGUUCGGAAUAACUCCCCGAAAGGGGUGCUAAUACCGGAUAAUGUCUUCGGACCAAAGAUUUAUCGCCUUUGGAUGGGCCCGCGUUGGAUUAGCUAGUUGGUAGGGUAAAAGCCUACCAAGGCGACGAUCCAUAGCUGGUCUGAGAGGAUGAUCAGCCACACUGGGACUGAGACACGGCCCAGACUCCUACGGGAGGCAGCAGUGGGGAAUAUUGGACAAUGGGCGAAAGCCUGAUCCAGCAAUGCCGCGUGAGUGAUGAAGGCCUUAGGGUUGUAAAGCUCUUUUACCCGGGAUGAUAAUGACAGUACCGGGAGAAUAAGCUCCGGCUAACUCCGUG